CCUAGGGCGGCUGCAGUGGGGAAUAUUGGACAAUGGGCGAAAGCCUGAUCCAGCCAUGCCGCGUGUGUGAAGAAGGCCUUCGGGUUGUAAAGCACUUUCAGUGGGGAAGAAAGCCUUGGGGCUAAUACCCUCGAGGAAGGACAUCACCCACAGAAGAAGCACCGGCUAACUCCGUGCCAGCAGCCGCGGUAAUACGGAGGGUGCGAGCGUUAAUCGGAAUUACUGGGCGUAAAGCGCGCGUAGGCGGUCUGAUAAGCCGGUUGUGAAAGCCCCGGGCUCAACCUGGGAACGGCAUCCGGAACUGUCAGGCUAGAGUGCAGGAGAGGAAGGUAGAAUUCCCGGUGUAGCGGUGAAAUGCGUAGAGAUCGGGAGGAAUACCAGUGGCGAAGGCGGCCUUCUGGACUGACACUGACGCUGAGGUGCGAAAGCGUGGGUAGCAAACAGGAUUAGAUACCCCGGUAGUC
rnacentral:rRNA from 1 species